CCCUUAGAUGUCCUGGGCCGCACGCGCGCUACACUGAGUGUCUGAGAUAUGAGGCAUGCCUGGUCCGGCAAGGUCUAGGUAAUCACGAAAAGGCACAUCAUGCUUGGGAUUGAUUAUUGCAAAUUUUAAUCAUGAACGAGGAAUUCCUAGUAAGUGCAAGUCAACAGCUUGCGUUGAUUACGUCCCUGCCCUUUGUACACACCGCCCGUCGCUACUACCGAUUGAAUGGUUUAGUGAGGCCUUCGGAUCCGCGACUCGUUUUGUGGAGAAGUUGGACAAACUCAGUCAUUUAGAGGAAGUAAAAGUCGUAACA
rnacentral:rRNA from 1 species